CCCUUAGAUGUCCUGGGCUGCACGCGCGCUACACUGAUGUGUCCAGUAAGCACCUAACCUCUUCCGAAAGGAACGGGUAACCUUUGCAAAGCACAUCGUGAUGGGGAUAGAUUAUUGCAAUUAUUAGUCUUGAACGAGGAAUUCCUAGUAAGCACAAGUCAUCAGCUUGUGUUGAUUACGUCCCUGCCCUUUGUACACACCGCCCGUCGCUCCUACCGAUUGAAUGUUCCGGUGAGCUCUUCGGACUGCGCGGUCUGCAGUUUCUGCGUCCCGUGCGGAAAGUUGCGCAAACCUUAACAUUUAGAGGAAGGAGAAGUCGUAACA
rnacentral:rRNA from 1 species